UUAAGCGACUAAGCGUACACGGUGGAUGCCCUGGCAGUCAGAGGCGAUGAAGGACGUGCUAAUCUGCGAAAAGCGCCGGCGAGGUGAUAUGAACCUUUGACCCGGCGAUGUCCGAAUGGGGAAACCCAGUGUGAUUCGUCACACUAUCGUUAACUGAAUACAUAGGUUAACGAGGCGAACCGGGGGAACUGAAACAUCUAAGUACCCCGAGGAAAAGAAAUCAACCGAGAUUCCCCCAGUAGCGGCGAGCGAACGGGGAGCAGCCCAGAGUCUGAAUCAGCUUGUGUGUUAGUGGAACGGUCUGGAAAGUCCGGCGAUACAGGGUGACAGCCCCGUACACGAAAAUGCACAGGUUGUGAACUCGAAGAGUAGGGCGGGACACGUGGUAUCCUGUCUGAAUAUGGGGGGACCAUCCUCCAAGGCUAAAUACUCCUGACUGACCGAUAGUGAACCAGUACCGUGAGGGAAAGGCGAAAAGAACCCCGGCGAGGGGAGUGAAAAAGAACCUGAAACCGUGUACGUACAAGCAGUGGGAGCACCUUCGUGGUGUGACUGCGUACCUUUUGUAUAAUGGGUCAGCGACUUAUAUUCUGUAGCAAGGUUAACCGUAUAGGGGAGCCGAAGGGAAACCGAGUCUUAACUGGGCGUUAAGUUGCAGGGUAUAGACCCGAAACCCGGUGAUCUAGCCAUGGGCAGGUUGAAGGUUGGGUAACACUAACUGGAGGACCGAACCGACUAAUGUUGAAAAAUUAGCGGAUGACUUGUGGCUGGGGGUGAAAGGCCAAUCAAACCGGGAGAUAGCUGGUUCUCCCCGAAAGCUAUUUAGGUAGCGCCUCGUGAACUCAUCUUCGGGGGUAGAGCACUGUUUCGGCUAGGGGGCCAUCCCGGCUUACCAACCCGAUGCAAACUACGAAUACCGAAGAAUGUUAUCACGGGAGACACACGGCGGGUGCUAACGUCCGUCGUGAAGAGGGAAACAACCCAGACCGCCAGCUAAGGUCCCAAAGUCAUGGUUAAGUGGGAAACGAUGUGGGAAGGCACAGACAGCCAGGAUGUUGGCUUAGAAGCAGCCAUCAUUUAAAGAAAGCGUAAUAGCUCACUGGUCGAGUCGGCCUGCGCGGAAGAUGUAACGGGGCUAAACCAUGCACCGAAGCUGCGGCAGCGACACUAUGUGUUGUUGGGUAGGGGAGCGUUCUGUAAGCCGUUGAAGGUGUGCUGUGAGGCAUGCUGGAGGUAUCAGAAGUGCGAAUGCUGACAUAAGUAACGAUAAAGCGGGUGAAAAGCCCGCUCGCCGGAAGACCAAGGGUUCCUGUCCAACGUUAAUCGGGGCAGGGUGAGUCGACCCCUAAGGCGAGGCCGAAAGGCGUAGUCGAUGGGAAACAGGUUAAUAUUCCUGUACUUGGUGUUACUGCGAAGGGGGGACGGAGAAGGCUAUGUUAGCCGGGCGACGGUUGUCCCGGUUUAAGCAUGUAGGCGGAACGAUUAGGUAAAUCCGGUCGUUUUUUAACGCUGAGGUGUGAUGACGAGGCACUACGGUGCUGAAGUAACAAAUGCCCUGCUUCCAGGAAAAGCCUCUAAGCAUCAGGUAACAUCAAAUCGUACCCCAAACCGACACAGGUGGUCAGGUAGAGAAUACCAAGGCGCUUGAGAGAACUCGGGUGAAGGAACUAGGCAAAAUGGUGCCGUAACUUCGGGAGAAGGCACGCUGAUAUGUAGGUGAAGCCCCUGCGGGUGGAGCUGAAAUCAGUCGAAGAUACCAGCUGGCUGCAACUGUUUAUUAAAAACACAGCACUGUGCAAACACGAAAGUGGACGUAUACGGUGUGACGCCUGCCCGGUGCCGGAAGGUUAAUUGAUGGGGUUAGCGGCAACGCGAAGCUCUUGAUCGAAGCCCCGGUAAACGGCGGCCGUAACUAUAACGGUCCUAAGGUAGCGAAAUUCCUUGUCGGGUAAGUUCCGACCUGCACGAAUGGCGUAAUGAUGGCCAGGCUGUCUCCACCCGAGACUCAGUGAAAUUGAACUCGCUGUGAAGAUGCAGUGUACCCGCGGCAAGACGGAAAGACCCCGUGAACCUUUACUAUAGCUUGACACUGAACACUGGUCCUUGAUGUGUAGGAUAGGUGGGAGGCUUUGAAGCGUGGACGCCAGUCUGCGUGGAGCCGACCUUGAAAUACCACCCUUUAAUGGCUGGUGUUCUAACGUAGACCCGUGAUCCGGGUUGCGGACAGUGUCUGGUGGGUAGUUUGACUGGGGCGGUCUCCUCCCAAAGAGUAACGGAGGAGCACGAAGGUUAGCUAAUCCUGGUCGGACAUCAGGAGGUUAGUGCAAUGGCAUAAGCUAGCUUGACUGCGAGAGUGACGGCUCGAGCAGGUGCGAAAGCAGGUCAUAGUGAUCCGGUGGUUCUGAAUGGAAGGGCCAUCGCUCAACGGAUAAAAGGUACUCCGGGGAUAACAGGCUGAUACCGCCCAAGAGUUCAUAUCGACGGCGGUGUUUGGCACCUCGAUGUCGGCUCAUCACAUCCUGGGGCUGAAGUAGGUCCCAAGGGUAUGGCUGUUCGCCAUUUAAAGUGGUACGCGAGCUGGGUUUAGAACGUCGUGAGACAGUUCGGUCCCUAUCUGCCGUGGGCGCUGGAGAAUUGAGGGGGGCUGCUCCUAGUACGAGAGGACCGGAGUGGACGCAUCACUGGUGUUCGGGUUGUCAUGCCAAUGGCAUUGCCCGGUAGCUAAAUGCGGAAGAGAUAAGUGCUGAAAGCAUCUAAGCACGAAACUUGCCCCGAGAUGAGUUCUCCCUGACUCCUUGAGAGUCCUGAAGGAACGUUGAAGACGACGACGUUGAUAGGUCGGGUGUGUAAGCGUAGCGAUACGUUGAGCUAACCGAUACUAAUGAACCGUGAGGCUUAACCU
rnacentral:rRNA from 1 species